CGAAUCCUCUCCCGGGCAGCAGAAGCCACCACUGCUUCAUUUAAGAAGUAGUGGUGGUUUUUGUUGUUUGGGGGAGGUUCGUGUGAUGCUGGUCGGUGAUGAUGACAUUGUGGAGUAUCGUAAAGAACUCAUUAUGCUCUCAGUUGCUGUUUGAUGGACUGUUUGAGGUAUCAUGCAUCACAAACUGCUGCCAUCUAGCCAGGCAAUCAAUGCAGCUGUGUACUUUGCAGCAAUUAGAACUUAUGCAUGAAAAACUGAAAACUGUGGAUCCAGUGCUUGUAAAUUGCAGAGAUGUCAUUCUCUUACAGGACAAUGCAAAAGCCACAUAUUGCUAAGGUCACCCUUAACACCAUUA
rnacentral:lncRNA from 1 species